AUUGAACGCUGGCGGCAGUCCUAACACAUGCAAGUCGAACGAGUGGCGGACGUGUGCGUAAUGUCUGGGACACUGCCCGAUGGAGGGGGAUAACUACUGGAAACGGUAGCUCAUACCGCAUACCAUCGGAUGUGCCCAGAUGGGAUUAGCUAGUAGGUGGGGUAACGGCUCACCUAGGCGACGAUCCCUAGCUGGUCUGAGAGGAUGACCAGCCACACGAGAACUGAGACAAGGUCCAGACUCCGACGGGAGGCAGCAGAGGGGAAUAGUGCACAAGGGGCGAAAGCCUGAUGCAGCCAUGCCGCGGGUAUGAAGAAGGCCUUCGGGUUGUAAAGUACUGUCAGCGAGGAGGCGUUACUCGCAGAAGAAGCACCGGCUAACUCCGUGCCAGCAGCCGCGGUAAUAC
rnacentral:rRNA from 1 species